UACGUAGGGUGCAAGCGUUGUCCGGAAUUAUUGGGCGUAAAGAGCUCGUAGGCGGUCUGUCGCGUCUGCUGUGAAAACUCGGGGCUUAACCCCGGGCUGCAGUGGGUACGGGCAGACUAGAGUGCGGUAGGGGAGACUGGAAUUCCUGGUGUAGCGGUGAAAAUGCGCAGAUAUCAGGAGGAACACCGGUGGCGAAGGCGGGUCUCUGGGCCGUAACUGACGCUGAGGAGCGAAAGCGUGGGGAGCAAACAGG
rnacentral:rRNA from 1 species